UGGAUCCAGACUUUGAUUCUGGCUCAGGAUGAACGCUAGCUACAGGCUUAACACAUGCAAGUCGAGGGGAAACGGCAUCGAAAGCUUGCUUUUGAUGGGCGUCGACCGGCGCACGGGUGAGUAACGCGUAUCCAACCUGCCCACCACUUGGGGAUAACCUUGCGAAAGUAAGACUAAUACCCAAUGACGUCUCUAGAAGACAUCUGAAAGAGAUUAAAGAUUUAUCGGUGAUGGAUGGGGAUGCGUCUGAUUAGCUUGUUGGCGGGGUAACGGCCCACCAAGGCGACGAUCAGUAGGGGUUCCGAGAGGAAGGUCCCCCACAUUGGAACUGAGACACGGUCCAAACUCCUACGGGAGGCAGCAGUGAGGAAUAUUGGUCAAUGGGCGAGAGCCUGAACCAGCCAAGUAGCGUGCAGGAUGACGGCCCUAUGGGUUGUAAACUGCUUUUAUAAGGGAAUAAAGUGAGUCUCGUGAGACUUUUUGCAUGUACCUUAUGAAUAAGGACCGGCUAAUUCCGUGCCAGCAGCCGCGGUAAUACGGAAGGUCCGGGCGUUAUCCGGAUUUAUUGGGUUUAAAGGGAGCGUAGGCCGGAGAUUAAGCGUGUUGUGAAAUGUAGACGCUCAACGUCUGCACUGCAGCGCGAACUGGUUUCCUUGAGUACGCACAAAGUGGGCGGAAUUCGUGGUGUAGCGGUGAAAUGCUUAGAUAUCACGAAGAACUCCGAUUGCGAAGGCAGCUCACUGGAGCGCAACUGACGCUGAAGCUCGAAAGUGCGGGUAUCGAACAGGAUUAGAUACCCUGGUAGUCCGCACGGUAAACGAUGGAUGCCCGCUGUUGGUCUGAACAGGUCAGCGGCCAAGCGAAAGCAUUAAGCAUCCCACCUGGGGAGUACGCCGGCAACGGUGCAACUCAAAGGAAUUGACGGA
rnacentral:rRNA from 1 species